GAACGCUGGCCGGCGUGCCUAAUACAUGCAAGUCGAACGCACAGAUAUCAACAGAAGCUGCUUGCAGUGGAAGUUAAUUGAUGUGAGUGGCGGACGGGUGAGUAACACGUGGGUAACCUACCCAAAAGUGGGGGAUAACAUUUGGAAACAGAUGCUAAUACCGCAUAAUUUAAGUGACCACAUGGUCACUUAAUGAAAGAUGGUUUCGGCUAUCACUUUUGGAUGGACCCGCGGCGUAUUAGCUAGUUGGUGGGAUAACGGCCUACCAAGGCGAUGAUACGUAGCCGACCUGAGAGGGUAAUCGGCCACAUUGGGACUGAGACACGGCCCAAACUCUACGGGAGGCAGCAGUAGGGAAUCUUCCACAAUGGACGAAAGUCUGAUGGAGCAACGCCGCGUGAGUGAAGAAGGUUUUCGGAUCGUAAAACUCUGUUGUUGGAGAAGAACAGGGACUAGAGUAACUGUUAGUCCUAUGACGGUAUCCAACCAGAAAGCCACGGCUAACUACGUGCCAGCAGCCGCGGUAAUACGUAGGUGGCAAGCGUUGUCCGGAUUUAUUGGGCGUAAAGCGAGCGCAGGCGGUUUUUUAAGUCUGAUGUGAACUUCGGCUUAACCGAAGAAGUGCAUUAGAAACUGGGAAACUUGAGUGCAGAAGAGGAGAGUGGAACUCCAUGUGUAGCGGUGAAAUGCGUAGAUAUAUGGAAGAACACCAGUGGCGAAGGCGGCUCUCUGGUCUGUAACUGACGCUGAGGCUCGAAAGUAUGGGGAGCGAACAGGAUUAGAUACCCUGGUAGUCCAUACCGUAAACGAUGAAUGCUAAGUGUUGGAGGGUUUCCGCCCUUCAGUGCUGCAGCUAACGCAUUAAGCAUUCCGCCUGGGGAGUACGACCGCAAGGUUGAAACUCAAAGGAAUUGACGGGGGCCCGCACAAGCGGUGGAGCAUGUGGUUUAAUUCGAACUACGCGAAGAACCUUACCAGGUCUUGACAUCCUUUGACCACUGUAGAGAUACAGCUUUCUUCGGGGACAAAGUGACAGGUGGUGCAUGGUUGUCGUCAGCUCGUGUCGUGAGAUGUUGGGUUAAGUCCCGCAACGAGCGCAACCCUUAUGACUAGUUGCCAGCAUUAAGUUGGGCACUCUAGUGAGACUGCCGGUGACAAACCGGAGGAAGGUGGGGAUGACGUCAAAUCAGCAUGCCCCUUAUGACCUGGGCUACACACGUGCUACAAUGGUUGGUACAACGAGUUGCGAACCCGCGAGGGUAAGCUAAUCUCUUAAAGCCAAUCUCAGUUCGGAUUGUAGGCUGCAACUCGCCUACAUGAAGUCGGAAUCGCUAGUAAUCGCGGAUCAGCACGCCGCGGUGAAUACGUUCCCGGGCCUUGUACACACCGCCCGUCACACCAUGAGAGUUUGUAACACCCGAAGCCGGUGGGGUAACCUCUAUGAGGAGCUAACCGUCUAAGGUGGGACAGAUGAUUGGGGGUG
rnacentral:rRNA from 2 species